rnacentral:tRNA from 1 species
GGGGAUGUGCUCAAGUGGUAGCAUGCUUGCCUGGCAUGCACGGGGUGCUGAGUUUGAUCCUCAGCACCACA